rnacentral:rRNA from 1 species
CCCUUAGAUGUCCGGGGCUGCACGCGCGCUACACUGAAGGAAUCAGCGUGCUAAAACAAUUGUCGAAAGGCAUUGGUAAACCCAUUAAAAUCCUACGUGAUUGGGAUCGGGAAUUGCAAUUAUUUCCCUUGAACGAGGAAUUCCCAGUAAGUGUGGGUCAUAAGCUCGCGUUGAUUACGUCCCUGCCCUUUGUACACACCGCCCGUCGCUGCCCGGGACUGAGCCGUUUCGAGAAAAGCGGGGACUGCUGCUGUCGGGGCUUUCGGGCCUUGGCUUCGGUGGAAACCGCUUUAAUCGCAGUGGCUUGAACCGGGCAAAAGUCGUAACA